UACGAAGGUGGCAAGCGUUACUCGGAAUUACUAGGCGUAAAGGGCAGGUAGGUGGCUUGGAAAGUCUGCUGUGAAAGCUCCUUGCUUAACGAGGAGAGGUCAGCAGAUACUCUCGAGCUUGAGUAUGGGAGAGGGUACUGGAAUUCCCGGUGUAGCGGUGAAAUGCGCAGAGAUCGGGAGGAACACCGAUGGCGAAAGCAGGUACCUGGACCAUUACUGACACUCAGCUGCGAAAGCUAGGGGAG
rnacentral:rRNA from 1 species